AAAACCCUAUGAUUAAAGAGGUCACAGAAUCAAAUGUAGGCGCAGGAGUCAGCAGCAGCUGAAAAGAAGGGCUUGGGCCUCGGAUCUUCCAUCCAAGGCUAACAAAGAACCUCAUGGGCACAGCAGCACAUCCACCACCAAAAUGGAACAACAGCCUUUGAUUUCUUCUAUGUGAGGCAAAACAUUAUUCACAAUUGUGGUGGUCUGAAAGAAAAUGGCCCCCACAGACUCAUAAGGAGUGGCACUAUCAGGGAGUAUAGUCUUGUUGGAGGAAGUGUGUCACUGAGGUGGGCUUUCAAAAGUUCAAGCAAGGCCCUGUGCCUCUCUUCCUGCUGCCUACUGAUCCAAACGAAGAACUCUCAGCUACCUCCCCAACACUUGAGUGCAGCCAUGCUCCCCAUCAUGAUAAUAAUGGACUAAACCUUUGAAUAUGAGCCAGCUCCAAUUAAAUGCUUUCUUUUGUAAGAGUUGCCAUGGUAACGGGGUCUCUUCACAGCAACAGGACACUAACUAAGACAACUAUAUCAGUAAAAUGAUUCCAAAGUUAGAGUUCAGAAUCUGGAACCAAAGAGACCUGCAUUCAACUGUACCCUAUCCUGGAUUCCAUCUGCACUAUAUUCUUCCUUGCUAGCUUGAUUCUUUAAUCAUAAAAUGGGAGUAUCUCCUAUUUGAAUAGUCUAUGUCAACUUAUCUUCCAGUAUUUUCAUCCAACUACUUUACCAAAUGCUUUUAAUGAGCCCAAAGACCUCUAGGUAAGCCAAGGAAGGUUACACAGUACAGAUGCAAAGGGUUCAGAGGAUGGGCAUAAUCCACUGUGCAGAAAGAACCUACACUUAUGUCUAAGAACUAAGGAUCUCUAAUGGAGCUUACUGGAAACACAGAUCUGGGACAGCAGCACCAUCCACUCCCCCUAGAAAGAAUGGAAUGAAAAACCAGCAAACACUGUCCUUCGUUAGCGUCUCCUUACCAUUCCUAAAGCUUCUUAGAAUGCAUUCUUCUAAAGCAGAAGGGAGCAUGCUUACGUGAGAAAGAACACUGUUCCCUCGGCAUCCUUCCUUUUCAGUACACUCUGCUCUCACGUCCACCCUUGCUAGGAACCUAGUCCAGUGCCUUACACAUAUUAAGAAUACUCCAUUAAAUACAGCAUAAAGCCUUAGCAUAUAGGCAAAGUAAAUUCCAUAAAUGCUAAUUCUUCUACCUCCAAAACUUUUCUGGCUGCAUCAAACAAUGCCUAAAUCCGAAAAAUCCUUCAUAUCCUAUAUUAACAAGCCUACUUAUUUCUGUCAGAAACAUCUGCAUUGGGAGAGAAUCACAAGAAGAGACACAGAGUUCCUAAAUUUCACACACUACAGGAUAAAUUUAAGUAAAAUCGUGAUGUGGUAGAAAUAUCCCAGAUUCUAAAAUUCAAGAGAUUUAGGUGAUUGAACAUAAAACUGAAUAUACACACAAGUCACACACAAUAUUCAUACAUGUUCUAGUUUCCUUUCUGUUGUCGACCAAAGCACCUUAGGGAGGAAAGUGGUUAUUUAGCUUACACUUCCAGAUCACAGUCUAUCACUGACGGAAGUCAGGGCAGGAACUUGGAAGAGAAGUCAUGGAGGAACUUGGCUUGGUAGCUUGCUCUCUGGCUCACUCCCAGGCUCAUAGUUGUCUAGCUUUCUUGUAUAGACCAGAAGCACGAGCGUAAGGCUGGUACCAUCCCCAAUGAGCUGGGCCCCCCUACAUCAGUUAAUUACCAAACAACCCUCCACAAAAAUGCCCACAGACAAUCUGAUCUAGGCAAUUUCUCAAUCAACGCUUUCCUCUCAGAUAAUUCUAGUCUGUGCCAACUUGACUGUUAGUGCUAACUGGAACAGCAAAUAAAAAGUCUGGCAAAAUAUACCCUCAUUAACAGUGGCUGCUACUGAAAUGCAAAAACAAUAGCAUAUAAUGUCAUCACUUUAUUGUGUUUUUUGUUUUUGUUUUUUUUUUUUUUUUUUACUUUUUGGGUUUUUUUCUUUCUGUCUGCAUAUAUGUCUGCGUGAGGGUGUUGAAUCCUCUGGAACUGAAGUUACAGAUAGCUGUGAGCUGCCAUGUGGGUGCUGGGACUUGAACCCAGGGCCUUUAGAUGAGCAGCCAGUGCUCUUAACUACUGAGCCAUCUCUCCAGCCCUCACUGUGCUUUUUCGGUGUUCAAUUUUCCUAUACUGAAUGCAAAUGCCUACUAAGUUUCUCAUCCUUAGGUUCUGCUCUCCUUAAAUCCAUCCUGUACGCUUACUGUCAGGACAAGUUUCUCAACCGUCUUCAAGAAGCUUGUGGUUUACUCUUUUUUUUUUUUCUUUGUAUCCCUAGCAACUAGCACUGUGCUUGGCACAAUAAUUAAUGACUACAUUAACAAAUAAAGUAUAAAAGCUUACAUGAGGUAUUUCUUUCUCUAAUCACCUAAUGUGCCAUCUUGCCUAAACCAUACCACUUUCCAAUCCAACCAUUAUUCAGAUUCAGAAACGAAGAAUUUUAGGUGCAGAGUUUGCUCAAAGUCUCACAGCGACUACAGGGCCUCAAGCUAGAAUUUACAUUCAGAUCCACUACUUUUCAAUACUAUCUUUCUUCCAGAAUACUUUUCAGUACGCAAAUAAAUAAUAGUUACACUUCAGUAAGGAGUAGAAGAUAUUACUAAUCAUGUAUGCAUCUUACAAUCCUUCUAAACUCAGAAAAAGUAUAAAUACAUAAUACUGCUGUUCCAGACCCAGCUACCGCCCAAAUCUAUGUCUGGGCCCAGGGUCUUACCACAGCUGGAGUCUGUGCUGAAGACGUAGAGUCUCAUACUGCCACCAAAGGUUUUAAGAAGCCUAGGGUUGCCGGGUGGUGGUGGCGCACGCUUUUAAUCCCAACGCUCGGGAGGCAGAGGCUGGCAGAUCUCUGGGAGUUCAGGCCAGCCUGGUCUACAAGAGCUAGUUCUGGGACAGGCACCAAAGCUACAGAGAAACCCUGUCUUGAAAAACAAAAACAAAAACAAAAAAGAAGAAGAAGCCUAGGGUUGUUCAGGGGCCAUCCCGAUCUGAGUGGCCAGUGCUUCCACCAGGAGCCAGGAUGUCGCUUGGGCACAAGUUGCUGCUGAGGGCCAUGUCUGGGUCCAUAGUUUAGCAGCAGCUGGGGUCUAUGUUGAUGUCUGUGGCCCGUGUCACCUCAGGGGACCAUAGGAACCAUGUGUGAUGAAAUCAGAAGGCCAUGUGGAGUUGGUCCCACCCUUUGCUGGUCCAGCUUCUCUCUGGACACUGCAGCAAGAGAGCUGGCCUUAUUCCCCAUACCAUGCUAAAUGCAUUUGUACAACAGAAACAAAUAAUUCACUAUGCAAAUAUCUAUUCUAUUCCUUUUUCCCUUUUAUUAAAAAUAGAUAUUUUCUCACAUGAUAUAUCCUGAUUACAGUUUCCCCUCCCUUUAUUUGUAUGAGUUCCUCCCCACCCUUUCUCCCCUCCAGAUUAAUUUCCUCUGUCACUCAUUAGAAAACAAACGGGUUUCUAAGGAUAAUAAGAAAAUAAAAUAUAAUAAGAUAAAAUAAGACAAAACAAGCAAACAGAAGGAAAAGAGACCAAGAAAAGGCACAAGAAACAGAUACAGACACAGAGACCCACUCAUUCACACCAGGAAUCCUGUAAAAACACUAAACUGGAGAUACUAUAUUCCUUUAAAAAGCUGGUUUCACUGUUUAAGAUCACUGCUAACCAUUUACAUUGGACAUCUUAUCUGAUCCUUGCAGUACUCCCAGGGCUUGUUGGCAUUACUCCAGCCACUUACUCACAAGGAAGCAAAUGCUCAGAAAUGCUAACACCUCUACCAAUGCUAAAAAAGUAAUAAAGGAAGAGAGCAGAACCAAAGCAGGCGGCUGGCCUACAGAACUGAGUACAGAAGAGCUACAGCAUCCGGACCAGUCAGAACGGGUACCUAGUAAAUGGACAUUGACUCAGUGCUUACAUGUUGAGCACUCUGCUAAAUGCUGUUAUACAUAAUUCUUAAACCUUCAAGUAACCAGGUACAGCUUAUGAUGUUUGCUUUUUAUGGGUCAGAAAACUAGAACACAAAGGAACUAAGACAGGAAAUAAACAUUUAUAUGCAUUACUCACAGAUGAACUAAGAGAUGUUAUCCUGAGGGAAAAAAGGAAAUAGCUACUCAUAUAUUUAGAUGCCAAUAAACCUGGGAUUAUCUUCCGUAUCUAGAACUAAAAUGAACAAAACCUGAACUAAGACUAGCUCAGUCAGUGAAGAGCUUGCCAUGAAGGCAUGAGGGCCUGUGUUUGGUCCCCAGAACCCAUGCUAAAAGACAGCAUGCACUUGUAAUACCAGCACCAGGAGGUGGAGACAGGCGGAUUCCUGGAGUGUUCUGGUUAGCCAACCUAGCCUAAUCAAUGACUCCAAGACAAGAGACCUCAGCUGGACUGCAUCUAAGGAAUGACACCUGAAGCUGUCCUCCCGCCUCCAUACAGACACAGAGGGGGGAGGGGACAUUAGGUUUAAGUAGGAAUUAUGUGUUUAGAUAGAACAGUGUCCAGCAUUAAGUUUUAGUCAGGGUCAAUUUACUAGGUAGGCCUGGCCCUGACCUCCUUUAACCAUUAACUGCUUUCUACCAACAUGAGGUAAAUUAUCUCCGGCUACUGGGAAACCAGCAGCAAUUCAUAAACAAACGGUCACUCCUGCAAAUACUGCAAGAGAGAAACGUGAUCUCUAUCACCUUAGCUCUCAAGCUCUACCAAAGUCCCAAGCAUGGGGACUUUCCAAAGUCACGUCUGCAGAGAGAGACCCUCCUCCCUUUAUGUGCCCAUUUCCUUUCUUUCACUAUCUAGCGGCCAUAAAGAGUAGUCUACACUGCUGACUUUUCCCUGCAUCUCUCAGUCCCUCAAAUAAGCUCAUCUUCACGCACCUUUUAACUUUUCACUACACACUUUUUCAAGAUUUAUUCAUGAUGAUAUAUAAGAACUCUGUUCAUUCACUGUACUAACAGUUACAGAACGACCCACAAUUCAUUGCUACUUUUCUCAAGGAAACUGUUCUUUUUCCAGUUCUGCAGUCUGAGAUGACUGUGAGCAUGCACACCUGUGCGCUCCCCGAGACCACCACUACUAGAAAGGCUGAAUCAAGACGUAGUAGAUACCUAUACCAGUUUCAGGAGCUCCAGUCCUGUUUUGUCUGUGGACUCUCCUUUUGUUGGGAACCCUACAGGCUCAUACUGCCAUUUCUACGGUGAGUUUACUGCAGCUGGCUUCUGUCUUCUGGAAGAAUCCUGGGCUCUCAGAGACUUCAGCACCAACAAGUGAUGAGCUGCCGCUGCUGAGAAAGGAGUCCUGCAAGAGAACUUUAAAUUGCCAGCAUCACAGCCGGAAACCUACCCAGAAAGACCGAAAACCGCCCCAGUCAACCAAUCCUAGCCUCCAAAACUUAAAUCCCACCCGGCUUUUUCACCGAGCGCUACUGGCUUUUUUGAUCAAUAUUAUCGCAAAUAUAAAUAGAUGGCAUUUAUCUCACCCUCACUAUGUGCCAGGCUCUGCGAUAAGCAUGUAUUUUUCAAGAUUGCAUGAGCCGCGAGCUCAACCACCACCAACCCACUCAGCUCUCAAGUCAGCAAAGCCACA